GCAAGGCACAGUUGCGCGUGCCUGUAGUCCCAGCUACUCAGGAGGCUGAGGUGGGAGGAUCGCUUGAGCCCAGGAGUUUUGGGCUGUAGUGCGCUAUGCCAAUCAAGUGUCCGCACUAAGUUCGGCAUCAAUAUGGUGACCUCCCGGGAGCAGGGGACCACCAGGUUGCCUAAGGAGGGGUGAACCGGCCCAGGUCGGACACAGAGCAGGUCAAAACUCCUGUGCUGAUCCGUAGUGGGAUUGCGCCUGUGAAUAGCCACUGCACUCCAGCCUGGGCAACACAAUGAGACCCUGUCUCU
rnacentral:SRP_RNA from 1 species